GUGUUCUUAGGAGUCCAUCAUGUGCUUUGAUCUGUCUGCAUCCACAGCUGGAAACUUUGCGCCAGUCUCUGGAAGCAGCACGAACUGACAACAGUCGCCUCCAUCAGGAAAGUGAGUUAGUGGUUGAAAAUGUUAAUCAGUGGAUCAAAGAACAAAAAAUUACAGGCUGUUAAUUCCUCUGGGAUCAUUGCUUCCUAUCAGAUUAAUUUGAAUUGACCAGCAUUUUCAGAAGUUACUGUGUAUGUGUGGACAGAAAGAGACAUACCACUGAAUGUACGAUGGUAAGACAACAUUUCAUACACCUGACUAAGUGCUAAAAAGAGGAAAUGAUUUACAAGUGCACUCCAAGCUACUGCCAGAAAAGCCCUUCUACAUCACAUAUUUCAAUCUGUUUUACGCAUGUUCCUGCAUACAGAUCUUGUAUACACCAUAUUGCUAUCUCAGAACCACUGCUUUUUUUAAACUGAUUCCUUCUUCAGAAUAUAUUUCUGACUGAAAUAUUCAUUUUUAUAUAUUUUUAUCAGAUGCAUUCCAGAAAGCUGUGAAGUUACUACAAAAGCCUAGCGUGUGAAUGCUACUUGUGUAGAAUUCUUAAAAUAUAAUCUAUUGAUCUGUGAGAAAAAAAUAAAUAAAAGCAUAUAUAACUAAGAUCGGGGAGAAACUCUGUAGUCUGCUGGUCAUUUUAAAGAUAAGAGUAUAUGUAUUUUUGUCUGUGAUCAACACAGAAUUUGGAAUCUGCUACAGAAAACAAGUCAUCAGUAGUUCUGAUUAUAAGAUUACGUCCAAUCUAAGUUUACAAGAGUUAAAUUUCUACUUUGAGAUCCUAUUUAGUUGGAAAAGACUGUUUAAUCUCUUUCAGAACAAUUGCAGUAGAAAUCCAAUUGUUCCUCCAAAUGUCUGUUAUAAAAUUCCAGCUACCUAAGCUAAACAAACACAGCU
ensembl:lncRNA